GUGGGGAAUAUUGGACAAUGGGCGAAAGCCUGAUCCAGCAAUGCCGCGUGAGUGAAGAAGGCCUUAGGGUUGUAAAGCUCUUUUACCCGGGAAGAUAAUGACUGUACCGGGAGAAUAAGCCCCGGCUAACUCCGUGCCAGCAGCCGCGGUAAUACGGAGGGGGCUAGCGUUGUUCGGAAUUACUGGGCGUAAAGCGCACGUAGGCGGCUUUGUAAGUUAGAGGUGAAAGCCCAGGGCUCAACCCUGGAACUGCCUUUAAGACUGCAUCGCUUGAACACGGGAGAGGUGAGUGGAAUUCCGAGUGUAGAGGUGAAAUUCGUAGAUAUUCGGAAGAACACCAGUGGCGAAGGCGACUCACUGGACCGUUGUUGACGCUGAGGUGCGAAAGCGUGGGGAGCAAACAGGAUUAGAAACCCUAGUAGUCC
rnacentral:rRNA from 1 species